AAUUCUCAAUCCUCUUAACAUUUGAGGCUUUGGAUUUUGAAGUGUUGCUGGCAUUCUCAAAUGUCGGCUACUUUUAAAUGUAUUAGCUAGCCAUCUUCACAUAAGCUUUAGUUUGAUAAAUAUCUAUGCUAAUGGCUUUGAAGCAAAUGUUAGCUUCUAGUUGUUUUCAUAACACUAUAACA
rnacentral:misc_RNA from 1 species